rnacentral:rRNA from 1 species
GCUUACGGCCAUACCAGCCUGUGUACGCCCGAUCUUGUCUGAUCUCGGAAGCUAAGCAGGGUCGGGCCUGGUUAGUACUUGGAUGGGAGACCGCCUGGAAAUACCAGUUGCUGUGAGCA